GUGAAUCAUCAAAUUUUUGAACGCAAAUUGCACUCUCCGGUUUUCCGGGAGAGUAUGCCUGUUUGAGGGUCAGCCUAAAAAAAAUCGACAUUGUUGCUGUUAUUUAAUGGUGACUUUCGUCGGAGAUUGGGUUAUCUUAAACCUUUUUUUUUUGGGUUUAGGCGCCUAAAAUUUUUUUUUCCGGUUUCCUUGAAGGUUCUAAAGUUUUUUUUUCUUUUUCGGUUUAGGUUUUU
rnacentral:misc_RNA from 1 species